AACCGUGGAGGAUGAACUUAGAGAAAUCUACACUUCCUUUGGAUUGGUUGCAUGUGUUUGGACUCAAACUUUGUGUGUUCAGAUUGAUGCAGCUGGCAGCUUUGGGUUUGUUAGCUUUUGUCAAACUUGCCAAUUCUUUCUUCUCUGGUCUCUUGCAUACGACAUAUUGGAGGAGAUAAGAAUUUGGCAAAACACAUCUUGCAUCAAACCCUUUUUUUUUUUUUUGGUUUUUUCCUUGUUACAAUCAAAGAGAACCCAAUAUCAAAUUUUCUUUGAUAGCCAAUCAGCCAUAUGGCCCGUUUUCUUCCAAUUCAAGAGAGAGGUCUUUCGACAUGUGGCCUUCCCUUUGAAUUCUUUUUAAGCUACAGACUCUUCCCAUUACUGUUUGUAACAAAUCAAUUUUGGGAUGCCAUAUUUGAGAAUGGCGCAGAGGCAACGUCAUGGAACACACAAACCAUCCCCACAGCGGCAUAAUUUUUUCUAUCUGUAUCCAAUAUUUUUUUUUUGAGGUGCAAACCCAAGCCUUGAUUGAGAGUGAAACACCCAGACUUUAUUUUUUGGGUGCAAUACCCAAAUUUGUUUUUAGGAUGCAAAACCCAAACUUUGUUUCCGGGGUGCAAAACCCAAUGCUUUGAUUUCAGGGUUUAUAACCCCAUGAUGGAUUGAACAUCCAAGAAAUUUUGAUUCAAGGAAUGCUGCCCCAAAAUUUGAUUUGUGGGUUUUAUACCCAAUCAUAGGGGACUUCAGGAGAGGAGCCUUGUUGAAGAUGCAACAUGUAUCUGACUGCUUCUGUCUUUGCAGGGAGUAGGGGUGUUGAGCCUCAUUUUUCUGCUUCUGUCUUUGCAGGGAGUAGGGGUGUUGAGCCUCAUUUUUCCUCCAGUCUCACGAUUGUCCUUCUCUGCCUUUGUGGCUUUUCGGGUUUUUCCUCCCUCUCUGUAAAAAUUCUCCAGCAGCCUUCCCCUUUGUGGGUUCUCCCCCACAUCGUCUGCUAUUCUCCUUUGAUGCUUGUUUGUGGCUUUGGAUGCUCAAGGCAUCUGUGAGAGAAAUCUCACUGUCCUGCCGCAUUUAAGAACAACGAACGAAGAACCUCGUGUUUGUUGCUCUCUGUAGAAAUCUGUCAGCAAAUUCAUUUGCCCUUCAUUUCGUUUCGCUUAUGUAGUGUCAUAGCCCCAGCAAUUGACUUCAUGUGAAUUUGAUUCUCCACAAGCUUUUAUUCCUUUUUUUUUAUUCUUCUGUUUACAUUCAGCAAAACAUAGUAAACCAAAGGCCUUGCUUUGCUCCAGCUGGAUCCCUCACGUAUUGGUGCCAUUAACAGGUGUCUUUCAAUUUGAUUAAGACACCCAAAGGAUAGAAAUCCUUCUCCAGACCAGCACAUAACUUUGCUCAAGCCACCUGUUGCACCAUCAAACGGAAGCGGAUUUCACGUGCAAUAGCGGUAGCAAUAGAAGACCCUCCAAUUAAUUGGAUGCUUCUGGGCUGACUUGGAACCAAAAGAGACAAACUCUCUUAUUGUCCUUUGUGUGCUGUAACUUUCCCAAGGUCAAUAACUCAAGAAAUCCUCUUGCCUUUCACGUGACUGUGCUGCCAGCUUGAAGGCUUUGGAGUUUGGUGGAGGAAACCACCUGUCAUUUUGCUUCAGAAACCCAAGAGAGAACUUGUGGUACAUGCCUUGCCAGCUCCCCUUUUUUCUUUUGUGUUUGCUGUUGAUGUACCAUUGUCCAUGUCCUUUUCUUUUUCCCAGUCAUAAUAAACCAAAGAAAUAUUCAAGAGAGGGAGGAGGGGCUGUGCGAUACAGCCCCCUUUUUUUAUUUCAUUACUUUUUUAUCCCCCUUGUUUUGUCUUUUACUAACAAAACCCAACACACAGAACCACUUUUUCUUUUGCUCCUAUUCUUCCUCUGUUGGCUUUUUUUCGUUGGCUUGCAGGCAGCAAACACUCAUGAGGAGGCAAUUCAAUUUCCAUGCGCCCCUUUUGGUUUCGGAUGCUUCAUGCAGAAAUUUUACACAGGGACUUGUAAUUACAAGCCUUUGCUCUUUUGAUUUUGAUCCCAUGGUGGGUUCAUCUCUACAUCCAUGAUUUGAGAGAUUCUUUGCUCCUGGAAGAGCUUAUUUGGUGGUGCAUGAUGGAAUAGACUAUGCCAUAAAACAUGAUGAUUGAAAUCAUCAUGGAAGGCAAACCUGAAAACACUGCUGGAGUUCUUUGAGCGGAGCCAAGCCUCGGAGAGAUUCUUAACCUUGGUUAUGAUGAUUUCAAUCAUCAUAGCCAAGAAUUUCUGUGGAUUGAUCAAACAAACUGCUGGGUGCAGAUCGUAUCCUCGGAAUUACUUGAGCGGAGCUGUCCCUUAGAGAGAUUACUGACCCUUUUUAUGAUGAUAGAAAUCAUCAUGGCCAGGAACCCUUGAGUUGAAUGGAACCAGAAAUCUUGAGCAAAAAGAAAGAAAUCAGAAAAUUGUGCCAUGAAACUAAUCUUUUUACCUUGAUAUGGCUCUUUCCUUUCUCAAGUCUGCUUGCUAAGGAUAGAAACCCUUCUCAACCGAGAUACUUAUCUCUUGGUGUUUCAAAACCACUGAAAUACAUCUAUUUUAUUUUUA